rnacentral:rRNA from 1 species
CAGUCGCCGCGGUAAAACGAAGGGGGCUAGCGUUGCUCGGAAUCACUGGGCGUAAAGGGUGCGUAGGCGGGUCUUUAAGUCAGGGGUGAAAUCCUGGAGCUCAACUCCAGAACUGCCUUUGAUACUGAAGAUCUUGAGUUCGGGAGAGGUGAGUGGAACUGCGAGUGUAGAGGUGAAAUUCGUAGAUAUUCGCAAGAACACCAGUGGCGAAGGCGGCUCACUGGCCCGAUACUGACGCUGAGGCACGAAAGCGUGGGGAGCAAACAGGAUUAGAUACCCGCGUAGUCCCUGUCUCUUAUAC